rnacentral:rRNA from 1 species
GACGAACGCUGGCGGCGUGCCUAAUACAUGCAAGUAGAACGCUGAAGGAGGAGCUUGCUUCUCUGGAUGAGUUGCGAACGGGUGAGUAACGCGUAGGUAACCUGCCUGGUAGCGGGGGAUAACUAUUGGAAACGAUAGCUAAUACCGCAUAAGAGUAGAUGUUGCAUGACAUUUGCUUAAAAGGUGCAAUUGCAUCACUACCAGAUGGACCUGCGUUGUAUUAGCUAGUUGGUGGGGUAACGGCUCACCAAGGCGACGAUACAUAGCCGACCUGAGAGGGUGAUCGGCCACACUGGGACUGAGACACGGCCCAGACUCCUACGGGAGGCAGCAGUAGGGAAUCUUCGGCAAUGGACGGAAGUCUGACCGAGCAACGCCGUGUGAGUGAAGAAGGUUUUCGGAUCGUAAAGCUCUGUUGUAAGAGAAGAACGAGUGUGAGAGUGGAAAGUUCACACUGUGACG